rnacentral:rRNA from 1 species
AACAGGAUUAGAUACCCUGGUAGUCCACGCCGUAAACGAUGUCGACUUGGAGGUUGCUCCCUUGAGGAGUGACUUCCGGAGCUAACGCGUUAAGUCGACCGCCUGGGGAGUACGGCCGCAAGGUUAAAACUCAAAUGAAUUGACGGGGGCCCGCACAAGCGGUGGAGCAUGUGGUUUAAUCCGAUGCAACGCGAAGAACCUUACCUACUCUUGACAUCCACGGAAUUCGGCAGAGAUGCCUUAGUGCCUUCGGGAACCGUGAGACAGGUGCUGCAUGGCUGUCGUCAGCUCGUGUUGUGAAAUGUUGGGUUAAGUCCCGCAACGAGCGCAACCCUUAUCCUUUGUUGCCAGCGAUUCGGUCGGGAACUCAAAGGAGACUGCCGGUGAUAAACCGGAGGAAGGUGGGGAUGACGUCAAGUCAUCAUGGCCCUUACGAGUAGGGCUACACACGUGCUACAAUGGCGCAUACAAAGAGAAGCGACCUCGCGAGAGCAAGCGGACCUCAUAAAGUGCGUCGUAGUCCGGAUCGGAGUCUGCAACUCGACUCCGUGAAGUCGGAAUCGCUAGUAAUCGUGGAUCAGAAUGCCACGGUGAAUACGUUCCCGGGCCUUGUACACACCGCCCGUCACACCAUGGGAGUGGGUUGCAAAAGAAGUAGGUAGCUUAACCUUCGGGAGGGCGCUUACCACUUUGUGAUUCAUGACUGGGGUGAAGUCGUAACAAGGUA